rnacentral:rRNA from 1 species
AUUGAACGCUGGCGGCAUGCCUUACACAUGCAAGUCGAACGGCAGCGGGGGAGAAGCUUGCCUUUCCUGCCGGCGAGUGGCGAACGGGUGAGUAAUACAUCGGAACGUGCCCUGUAGUGGGGGAUAACUAGUCGAAAGAUUAGCUAAUACCGCAUACGACCUGAGGGUGAAAGUGGGGGACCGCAAGGCCUCAUGCUAUAGGAGCGGCCGAUGUCUGAUUAGCUAGUUGGUGGGGUAAAGGCCUACCAAGGCGACGAUCAGUAGCUGGUCUGAAAGGACGAUCGGCCACACUGGGACUGAGACACGGCCCAGACUGCUACGGGAGGAGGCAGUGGGGAAUUUUGGACAAUGGGCGAAAGCCUGAUCCAGCAAUGCCGCGUGUGUGAAGAAGGCCUUCGGGUUGUAAAGCACUUUUGUCAGGAAAGAAAUGGCUCUGGUUAAUACCUGGGGUCGAUGACGGUACCGGAAGAAUAAGGACCGGCUAACUACGUGCCAGCCGCCGCCGUAA